AUUUUCUCAACCCAUAGAUUAUGUUCUCUUCAAUGUGAUUAAGUACAGCAAUGUUGAUUUGUAUAAUCACUUGAAAAACAAAAAUUUGUGUGCAAAAAUUGAUCUAAAUUAUCAAUCCAUAAUCUUGUCUCCAAGUGAAAGAGAACUUUUCUUUGUUGGAGCAGUUUUCCCUGGGGACACAUUGUUUAUAGAACCAGCCUAAGCUACAUGAAGUUAUGAACAAAAGAUUGAAACAAUCUUUUUAUUUUUUGUGAUGAAGUUGGUGUAACUAUAUGUAUGUAUGAAAUCAAGGAGACGGUAGUUUUAUGUAUGUAAAUGUUCCUAAGAACACUUGAUUAGGAACAUGUAUAUAUAAAUAUUGUAAUGGUUGAUUUUU